rnacentral:lncRNA from 8 species
UGGUUAACUACAGUAUCCCAGCGUGCCCUGCCUGGGGCGACAGACAGACAGACAGACAGACAGACAGACAUCCAACCUCUGUUUUGUUUUGACUUGAGACAGGCAGAGAAUGCAGACAGGCCUCAGCGUUGGAGGAAGAAGCUGACCCAGAGCCAGAGCCAGAGCCAGACCCAGAGCCAGACCCAGAGCAGAGAGACUGGGACUGGGCCUGGGGGUCAGGAUCACCCUGGGAGUGCUGCUAGUGACCCAGACAGCGUCAGUCGCCAGGCUCUGCUAGAUCAGGUUGGUGGCACCCCAAGAAUUACAGCCUUGGUGGAUACCAUCCAUAUAUACCAUAUACAUAAAUCAAUAAAUACGUU